AUGAUUGUCGACUUCUCUGCUUUGGAGCUGCAUUUGUCAGCAAUGGGCCAUGUUUCUGGAGCAUUUGUGUCGCAUCUUCUUGGGUUGAAUCGGAUUCGUAGCGCCAUACGGAGGCUUAAGGUCGCCCUUCUGAGAUUAGAGGAGGAAGAAACCUGCCCUGCAAAUUGUCCUUGUGAGUGUACGAACUGGAGGAGACAAAUUAUCUCCUUGACUGCUCUUGAAGAAGUAGAAAUACAUGGCUUCAGAGGAGAUGCUCAUGAGCUUGAUUUCUUGAAACUAAUAUUCAGCUGUGCACCAAUGCUUAAAAGGAUGAUUGUGAGGCUGCCAGGUGAGGUCUCGUCAAGUAAUGAUAGAUGCACGGAAAUAUAUGACAUCUUCAGGGGGUAUUCUUCUGUGAAAUGCAAUGUUUAUCUCAGCUCUGGGUUAGUGCAUCGCAGCCAUGGUUGCCGGUUGACAUGA
rnacentral:rRNA from 1 species